CAUUUCAUCACCAUCAAUCAUCAUACAUCCUCGGCUAUUAUAAGUAAACAAAUCGACUCUUUCGUUUUUCUCCCGUUCACACAUACUACUGUAUAAGAAAACUGAGAGAAGAAGAAGGAAGAGUGAGAGUGAUGGGUUCUUCUGUUCGCUGCAAAUCAUCAUAUCCAUGGCUAUACUCUGACAACACCUUCGAAUCCUCCGCCGAUGAAUCUGGAAUCAAUGAAGCAUGGUUAGAGAUCUCUAGCCGCAAAUCGAGAGUCUGCGGCGAAGGUAGUGUGAAGAAGCUGGAGAGGAAGAAGAGCCAGGUGUUGCUCGAAGGUUACGUCGAGACUAGUAGUGCUUCUUCUGUUUCCGCAGACGAUGAUCAAAAAGAAGAUCUGACGAGAUCCAAGAGUUUGACGGAUGACGAUCUCGAAGAUCUCAAAGGUUGUUUAGAUCUAGGUUUUGGUUUCAGCUACGACGAGAUCCCUGAGCUCUGCAACACUUUGCCUGCUUUAGAGCUUUGCUACUCCAUGAGCCAGAAGUUCUUAGACGAUAAACAUCGCUCACCGGAUCAUUCGUCCGCCGACGAUUCUCCGUCGCCUUCACCGGUCACCUCCCCUGCUCCGAUUGCCAAUUGGAAGAUCUCUAGCCCUGGUGAUAAUCCGGAUGAUGUGAAAGCAAGGCUCAAAUACUGGGCACAAGCAGUUGCAUGUACUGUUCAAUUGUGCAGCUGAAGAAAUGAAUCCGAAUCAGAAAAAUUCUUGGGGUAUGAAGAUGUUCUUACCUGGACAAUAUUUUGUCAGCCAUUGUUAGCUAAAGGAGGAGAGAUCUCAGAAUUCGAAGUAGUGAGAGCCUUUCGCCUAACUUGACUGGUCAUGUUUCUGCGGAGUGGUAUGUAUGAGACUUGUCUUUUACGAGAGCUGUCACUAACUUGUUAUGUGGACCUCUACUUGCUGAGUCUUGACUCGUUCCAUUUUUGUGAAUGUGUGUUGAAGCUUUACACUCUUCUGGCUAAUUUGGCGAUGCUCCGUAAACAUUUAUGAAGAAUCCAAUGGGAGGAAAAAUAAGAAGAUUGAUUGGAGAUGUUAUGCAGAUUUAACAAUGUUACGGACUUCUACUCAACAAUCAAGAGUCUUGAGCGGACUAAGCUUUUCGAAUUACAUAGCCGUCUAAUUAAUGAAAUUCUGAACAUUAAAGUCGUGGCAUGUAGGAGUAUUAUUGUACCAGUUAGUCUAAAAUGUACUUAUAACUUUAUAAGUGUUAUAUACUUGCCCAAUUACAAAUCC